rnacentral:rRNA from 1 species
AUUGAACGCUGGCGGCAGGCCUAACACAUGCAAGUCGAACGAGUGGCGGACGGGUGAGUAAUGUCUGGGAAACUGCCUGGUGGAGGGGGAUAACUACUGGAAACGGUAGCUAAUACCGCAUACUAUCAGAUGAGCCUAGGUCGGAUUAGCUAGUUGGUGGGGUAAAGGCCCACCAAGGCGACGAUCCCUAGCUGGUCUGAGAGGAUGACCAGCCACACUGGAACUGAGACACGGUCCAGACUCCUACGGGAGGCAGCAGUGGGGAAUAUUGCACAAUGGGCGAAAGCCUGAUGCAGCCAUGCCGCGUGUAUGAAGAAGGCCUUCGGGUUGUAAAGUACUUUCAGCGGGGAGGCGUUACCCGCAGAAGAAGCACCGGCUAACUCCGUGCCAGCCGCCGCGGUAAUUC